rnacentral:rRNA from 1 species
UACGUAGGGUGCGAGCGUUGUCCGGAAUUAUUGGGCGUAAAGAGCUCGUAGGCGGUGUGUCACGUCGGCCGUGAAAACCUGCAGCUUAACUGUGGGCGUGCGGUCGAUACGGGCAUCACUGGAGUUCGGCAGGGGAGACUGGAAUUCCUGGUGUAGCGGUGAAAUGCUUAGAUAUCGUCAAGAACACCGAUAGCGAAGGCAGCUUACUAGGCUGUAACUGACGCUGAGGCACGAAAGUGUGGGGAUCAAACAGG